UACGUAGGGGGCUAGCGUUGUCCGGAAUCAUUGGGUGUAAAGAGCGUGUAGGCGGUCCGGUAAGUCCGCUGUGAAAGUCGGGGGCUCAACCCUCGAAUGCCGGUGGAUACUGUCGGGCUAGAGUACGGAAGAGGCGAGUGGAAUUCCUGGUGUAGCGGUGAAAUGCGCAGAUAUCAGGAGGAACACCUAUUGCGAAGGCAGCUCGCUGGGACGUAACUGACGCUGAGACGCGAAAGCGUGGGGAGCAAACAGG
rnacentral:rRNA from 1 species